rnacentral:rRNA from 1 species
AUUGAACGCUGGCGGCAGGCCUAACACAUGCAAGUCGAGCGGAUGAAGGGAGCUUGCUUCUUGAUUCAGCGGCGGACGGGUGAGUAAUGCCUAGGAAUCUGCCUGGCAGUGGGGGAUAACGUGCGGAAACGGGCGCUAAUACCGCACACGUCCUGAGGGGGAAAGUGGGGGAUCUUCGGACCUCACGCUAUCAGGUGAGCCUAGGUCGGAUUAGCUAGUUGGUGGGGUAAAGGCCUACCAAGGCGACGAUCCGUAACUGGUCUGAGAGGAUGAUCAGUCACACUGGAACUGAGACACGGUCCAGACUCCUACGGGAGGCAGCAGUGGGGAAUAUUGGACAAUGGGCGAAAGCCUGAUCCAGCCAUGCCGCGUGGGUGAAGAAGGUCUUCGGAUUGUAAAGCACUUUAAGUUGGGAGGAAAAGCAGUAAGUUAAUACCUUGCUGUUCUGACGUUACCAACAGAAUAAGCACCGGCUAACUUCGUG